GUUAUAUGGUCAAGCGAUGAAGCGCAUACGGUGGAUGCCUAGGCAGCCAGAGGCGAUGAAAGACGUGGAAGCCUGCGAUAAGGCUCGGCGAGGUGGCAAACAACCUGUGACCCGGGCAUCUCUGAAUGGGGAAACCCACCCACGGUAACGUGGGUAUCCCGCACUGAAUCCAUAGGUGACGGGAGGCGAACCAGGGGAACUGAAACAUCUAAGUACCCUGAGGAAAAGAAAUCAACCGAGAUUCCCCCAGUAGCGGCGAGCGAACGGGGACCAGCCCUUAAGCAUGUGACUGAUUAGACGAACGCGUUGGGAAGCGCGGCCAUAGCGGGUGAUAGCCCCGUAGUCGAAAAUCUGAUCAUGUGAAAUCGAGUAGGUCGGGGCACGAGAAACCUUGACUGAAGACGGGGGGACCAUCCUCCAAGGCUAAAUACUCCUGGCUGACCGAUAGUGAACCAGUACCGUGAGGGAAAGGCGAAAAGAACCCCGGAGAGGGGAGUGAAAUAGAUCCUGAAACCGUAUGCGUACAAGCAGUGGGAGCAGACUCGUUCUGUGACCGCGUACCUUUUGUAUAAUGGGUCAGCGACUUAUUUUCAGUGGCGAGCUUAACCGUAUAGGGGAGGCGUAGGGAAACCGAGUCUUAACUGGGCGACCAGUCGCUGGGAAUAGACCCGAAACCGGGCGAUCUAUCCAUGAGCAGGUUGAAGGUUGAGUAACAUCAACUGGAGGACCGAACCCACGUAUGUUGAAAAAUGCGGGGAUGACUUGUGGAUCGGAGUGAAAGGCUAAUCAAGCCCGGAGAUAGCUGGUUCUCCUCGAAAGCUAUUUAGGUAGCGCCUCACGUAGCACCGCCGGGGGUAGAGCACUGUUUCGGCUAGGGGGUCAUCCCGACUUACCAACCCGAGGCAAACUCCGAAUACCGGUGAGUGACGCGUGGGAGACACACAGUGGGUGCUAACGUCCAUUGUGAAAAGGGAAACAACCCAGACCGUCAGCUAAGGUCCCCAAAUCCUGGUUAAGUGGGAAACGAGGUGGGAAGGCUCAGACAGCUAGGAGGUUGGCUUAGAAGCAGCCAUCCUUUAAAGAAAGCGUAAUAGCUCACUAGUCGAGUCGGCCUGCGCGGAAGAUAUAACGGGGCUAAACCAGGUACCGAAGCUACGGGU
rnacentral:rRNA from 1 species